UAGUUGUAUCUGUGGUUGGCAGUGAGGACGCUACUCCUUUUGAUUCAGCUACGGAGGUUCCCACAGUUACCCAAUCAAACUGCUCUGAACACUUACUUGACAGUGAGAUGCAGAAAUUGCAGGACAUUCUGACCUUAGCAAAUGUUCAAGGCACAAACAAGUAUCCUUCAACAUCCAAAUCAUGGUGUUUGCGCCAGUCUGUAGCCCAAGAGGAGUGGCUGAAAGCAAGGUCCUAUCACAUAAACGGCUUGCUGUCCUGCAGUGUGGUUCCAGAGCAGAACUGCAGCCGCUGCACAUCUCCGGCCAUCAUUCGCUGCAAAGACUGCAUGCAGAAGACUGGCUGUGUAUGGAGUGUGACAUACACAUAUGCAAAAAACUGAGGGAAUUUACAAGCCCAUUGAGCCAACAGUGUGCUGUGUAAAAAAAGAUGGCAAAUAUACACUGGUCAAUCAAGUGCGUUUAUUGCCUACAGUGAGACCUGUCCAUGUAUGCACUUGUGACCCUGUAAACAUCACAGAACCAGCUGGCAGAGCAAUAAUUUUUUAAUAUACCGUAUUGUCCCGAAUAUAAGACGACCCUGAU